rnacentral:tRNA from 16 species
GUCGAGAGGGGAGAGCACCUGCCUCCCGCUCCCGUGGUCCCCGGUUCGAAUCCUGU